GUCACAAGGUUUACACACUUCUUGUGGAGAAGGAGCAGGAGAGGGACCACCACCAAGAGGUGAGAGGCUCCUUUUCCCUCUGAGUUCUGAGUCAAUGCUUAGCUAGUGGUAGCAGAAUAACUAUACAGUUUGCCCGUGCCCCCGGGAACAGAAGAAGCCGGGCGCCCAUUGUGUGGUCCUGGCACAUGCACUAUGGGGCCGAUCCAAGAUGGGUCUGGAGAGCUGCCUAUUAGAGCUCUGGGUCAGUGAACCACGGGAGUUGAGUUGGUGACUGUUGGAGAUUCCAGAGGCAGUGUGGUGAGACAAAGGCAAGCUUGAUGAGGGGAGGAGUCCACGAGCAUGGUGUAGGCAGGCCUAGGGGCCAGGUUCAGAGCCGGGAUGAGGAAUUGCAUGCCUGAAUGACCCAUGGCAUGUGGCUGUUUUUCCCCUGGGCAGGGAGCCAGCUUGGCCCCGGUGGCCACUCUGGGUGGUGGUGGAUAUCCCGGAGACAGCUCAUUCCCCGCUUUGGGGCUGCCGGGAGAGGAGGGAAGAAGAGCCCGCGUGGUUGUAUGUUGUCUUCGGAGUGAGAUGGAAAGCACGGGUUGGGAAAGGUGACCUGCAGGCACACCAGCCCCGGGCUGUGGGGGGGAUGCUCAGAGCCCACCUGGCUUCGCCUGUUUGCAGCUCCUUUCUUAAGACAUGUUCUGCAGAGAGAUGAGGAUUUGCACGCGGCUGAUGUGUGGAGGAAGUGCUUCCAGGGAAACAGCGAGGAAUGGGAAGCAGCACAGGGCAGGGGAAGAAGCCAAGGGACGCCUCAGCCGGAGGCCCAUGAGGGUCGCUUCAGUCUGAUCCUGCAGGGGACUCUGGAGUGUUAGCUACUACUCAGGGCUGGUAGAGAGCUGGGCUUUCAUACCCCGGGAUCGUCAGGCAUUGGCUGAGGGCCACCCCAGAGGACUGUCAACUCCCAAACGCUUCUCUCAGGUUCAGACUUUUGGAACAAAACACAUGGAAGGUGGGGGAUGGGUACCGGCAACAGCAAAUACACUUUCCUGGGUGAGGGGAUGGUGGGGGGGUUGGUGUGGAGGGGACAUUGGAUGAAGCAGGGACACUCUCUGCUCCAGGAGUUUUUUUUCUGGUCACAAAACUUCACCACAUGCGUUCUGGCUGAGAGCCCAUGGGCAGACUUCUUCCCCAUGUGGAUGAGUCUAGAGAACACCCAGGUCUGUAUCUCCAGGGCCCCUGUAUUAACUGCAUCUAAGAAAACUGACCUAAGCACAAUGAGCUCAUCACACUGAGCAGGACAAGGGCAGGCUGGCUUCAGGCAUGGCUGCACUCAGGUGUCCAGAUGGUGUAGCAGGGGCUCUGUUUCCUGCCUCUGCUUCCCUCUCUGUUGGCUCUGUCCUCAGGCUGGUGUUCACCUCAUGGUGGGGGGAUGGCCGCCAACAGUGGAAAAAGAGAGUAGAGGUGACCCUUGAACAACAUGGGUUUGAACAGUGCGGGUCCACUUACAUGUGGAUUUAAAAAACUAAAAGUUCCACCGAGCGUGCCUGCCUCUUCUGCCUCUCCUUCCACCUCCUCCACCUCUUUUGCCUGUGUCACCUGGGAGACAGCAGGACGAACCCCUCCCUCUUCUUCAGCCUACUUGAUGUGAAGGUGAUGAAGACCUUUGUGAUGAUCCACUUCCACUUAAAAAACAGUUAAGCCUGAGUUUGGUCUUCUGUUACUUGGAACUGAAAUAAUGUGCAUUGACACACCUAACAAGUCAAAGUAUUGUCUUUUGCUGGUCUGCUCUGGUCCUGGAAACAUCCACUGAUAGAAUCACUGGUCUGGGACAAAUUGUGGUACCCAAAGACCUCAGGAAGCACUUAGAAGCAUUACUCCUGAAGUCCCAUUCGUCCCAAGAAGAGUUGCUGGCUGGAGGAGACAAUAUGUAAACAUGUCAUGACAAGAUGGUGUGCCAUCAAGUCUGAGAUAAUCUGUUAUGGCAACGUAAGAAGCUAAUACAAGAUGCAGGAGUGAAGCAGCGAGGUCUGGAAAAAAGCUAUUGCAAAAAUACAGUCUCAGCAAGGGGAUAGAAGGAGCCCUGCAUUCUCUCCUGACACGCUUGACAAAAACAAACCCAACUAGAGGUCGCCAGCAACGGAGGGGC
rnacentral:lncRNA from 1 species